UUAGUCAGCUGUCACGGGCUGCUUCCUGGGGGUGGAGGCCUGGUCGAGGACCGGGCCGCGGUGACACUAAAGCCCCGAAAUCAUCUCAAGAUAACCUCAAGAUAGGUGGCCAGAUGGCCCAGGUGAGCCAGGUGGCCCAAGUGGCCCAAGUGGCCAGGUGGCCAGGUGGCCCAGGUGGGCCAGGUGGCCAGGUGGCCAGGUGGCCCAGGUGGGCCAGGUGGCCAGGUGGCCAGGUGGCCCAGGUGGGCCAGGUGGCCCAAGUGGCCAGGUGGCCCAAGUGGCCAGGUGGGCCAGGUGGCCAGGUGGGCCAGGGUGGCCAGGUGGCCAGGUGGGCCAGGCGGGUCGAGUGGGGUAAACGGGCAUCAGGUGACCUUUUUGUUGAGAAAGAGUUGGCCGGUGAGACACCUGGAGCCAGCACCGCCUCUCAGUGCUUUCUCAUCGCUGGUGAAUACCGUCGCCUCCUCCUCCUGCUGCCGUCUGCUGCUGCCGUCUGCCUGCCUGUCUGCUGCUCCCUGCCCUCAUUUGACCGCUGGUGGGCAGCCCCUCGCCUCCAACUGGAGUCGGGUUGGUUGACGACAAGAUUUGGGUGAUUUCUGUCAGCGGCGGGCGGUGCUGUCAGUGUAGAACCGCGUGCUGGUGCGUGCUGACGCCCUCUGCUGACUUCCCGCCACGCUGACGACGGUGCUGUCAGUCUAGAGCCGGGUGCUGCUGGCCGCUCACGUCCCCCACACACUUACAAACCCCAAAAAAAACAAAUAUGAAGAUGUCCUGAUCUAAGGUUUCUCUCAUAAGUGGAUAAAAGUAAACUUCAGUGUUAAGUGGCCUGGUAGUGUCAAGUAACCGAUGUUAACACUUGAUCUGGCAUCUUAAGUGGCAUUAAGUGACAUAAAUCAAAGAUCGUUGUCUGUCGAUGUACUGUUCAGAAAGAUGGACUCAUACGUGUAAGGGACUUUGCGUUAGUGAUUGGAGUGUCUUGGAUGGACUCACACGUGUGAGGGUCUUUGGUUUCUGAGUGAUAGUAGUUUGAGUGUGUUGUUAGUCAAGAUGGGUCGGCCGUCCCGCACUGCCCUGGUCGCCACGUCCUACACCAGCCUGGACUUUGCCAACAUGACGGAGGCUAUAUACCGAGCCCCGAGGUCUACCUACGUCACACAUUAUGUGAGUACCCGCUUCUUGUUUUAUCUUGUGUUAUCUUGUGUGUCUUGUUACUCUGUGUCCUGUUUGUUGCCCUCUGUGUCAUGUUUAUUUCCCUAUGUAUCCAGUUUACUGGCCUCUGUGCCCUGCAUGUUGCCAUGUAUCCUAUUUGUUGCUUCCUGUAUCCUCUCUUGCUUGGGGUCCUUCCUAUUAUUAUAAUAGACCAUUGUUUAAUUAUUAUUAGUGUGUAAUAAAAAGUCGAUGGGUUGGUUAAUCCUUCACUGGUGUACGCGUGUUCAGUUUCCUCCCGGACAGGCCCCCAACUAAACAGUUGUGUUCAGACUAAUAUUCCCACGAGAGACUUAUUUCCUGCUUCUGCUCACCAGUCUCUCCACGCACAUACAUGGAUUCAGUGAGCCUAUAUUGGCAGGGCAAUCAGCCCCCUUAGACGUAUGCGGAACAUUUUUAACUUGUCUCAGGAACUCCACUAAUGUAUUGGCUUAACACCUGCCACAAAUAUUUUAGAGCAAAAUUAAUGAUUUAGGUCGGUGAGAAUUUUGUCAUCUCUUUAAUGUUACUCAACAAGAAACACGAGAACAAUAAUGAAGUUUGGGUGUUCAAUGUGCAAGGUGUGGGCGUAUAAGGUAAGGUUAGUUAUGAAGAGAAUGUGCAACACCUGUUUGAUUUCUCCAAGACUCUUUUUAGGGAAAUUUUGGUGGCAUUUCUCCCUUCAAUUUAACUAUUAUCCAAGUAACAUAAAUAGUUUACCUUAAUGACCAUUCGAGUUAAAAUUGUAACAUUAGAAUAAAGGAAAAAACGACAAGCCUAUUGGCCCAUACGAGGCCGCUUCUAUUUAUAUCCACUUAUAGUCAUUCAUAUAAGAAUGUCUAGCCUACGCUUGAAAAAAUCAUGUGAGCCCGCGUCUAGUAUGCUACCCGGUAAACUGAUAUGUAAAUCUAAAACUAUA